AUCUAACCAGAUGGGGACACUAGGUAAAAACUCUUACCAGGCAGGGCCACCAAGUAAAGACUCUAACCAGGCAGGGCCACCAGGUAAAGACUCUAACCAGGCAGGGCCACCAGGUAAAGACUCUAACCAGGCAGGGCCACCAGGUAAAGACUCUAACCAGGCAGGGCCACCAGGUAAAGACUCUAACCAGGCAGGGCCACCAGGUAAAGACUCUAACCAGGCAGGGCCACCAGGU